UACGUAGGGGGCUAGCGUUGUCCGGAAUCAUUGGGCGUAAAGCGCGUGUAGGCGGCCCGGUAAGUCCGCUGUGAAAGUCGGGGGCUCAACCCUCGGAUGCCGGUGGAUACUGUCGGGCUAGAGUGCGGAAGAGGCGAGUGGAAUUCCUGGUGUAGCGGUGAAAUGCGCAGAUAUCAGGAGGAACACCAAUUGCGAAGGCAGCUCGCUGGGACGUGACCGACGCUGAGACGCGAAAGCGUGGGGAGCAAACAGG
rnacentral:rRNA from 1 species